ACUCAAAUGAAUUGACGGGGGCCCGCACAAGCGGUGGAGCAUGUGGUUUAAUUCGAUGCAACGCGAAGAACCUUACCUACCCUUGACAUCCAGAGAAUUCUGCAGAGAUGCGGAAGUGCCGAAAGGAACUCUGAGACAGGUGCUGCAUGGCUGUCGUCAGCUCGUGUUGUGAGAUGUUGGGUUAAGUCCCGUAACGAGCGCAACCCUUAUCCUUAGUUGCCAACGCGUCAUGGCGGGGACUCUAAGGAGACUGCCGGUGAUGAACCGGAGGAAGGCGGGGACGACGUCAAGUCAUCAUGGCCUUUAUGGGUAGGGCUACACACGUGCUACAAUGGACGGUACAGAGGGCAGCGAAAUCGCGAGAUGGAGCCAAUCCCGAAAAGCCGUUCGUAGUCCGGAUCGGAGUCUGCAACUCGACUCCGUGAAGUCGGAAUCGCUAGUAAUCGCGAAUCAGAAUGUCGCGGUGAAUACGUUCCCGGGCCUUGUACACACCGCCCGU
rnacentral:rRNA from 1 species